rnacentral:rRNA from 1 species
GACGAACCGUGCGAACGUUGUUCGGAAUCACUGGGCUUAAAGGGCGCGUAGGCGGAUCAGCAAGUCCGGGGUGAAAUCUUUCGGCUCAACCGGAAAAGUGCCUUGGAUACUGCUGGUCUGGAGGGAGGUAGGGGCAUGUGGAACUUCCGGUGGAGCGGUGAAAUGCGUUGAUAUCGGAAGGAACUCCGGUGGCGAAAGCGACGUGCUGGACCUCUUCUGACGCUGAGGCGCGAAAGCUAGGGGAGCGAACGGG